rnacentral:rRNA from 1 species
AUAGUACCGUGAGGGAAAGGUGAAAAGAACCCCGGGAGGGGAGUGAAAGAGAACCUGAAACCAUAUGCCUACAAGAAGUCAGAGCCCGUUAAAGGGUGAUGGCGUGCCUUUUGUAGAAUGAACCGGCGAGUUACUGUAUGGAGCGAGGUUAAGCAGGAUAUGCGGAGCCGAAGCGAAAGCGAGUCUUAAGAGGGCGAGAGUUGCAUGCAGUAGACCCGAAACCGGGUGAUCUAGCCAUGACCAGGUUGAAGUUGGGGUAAAACCCGAUGGAGGACCGAACCGACCCCCGUUGAAACGUUGGCGGAUGAGUUGUGGCUAGGGGUGAAAUUCCAAUCGAACCCGGAGAUAGCUGGUUCUCCCCGAAAUAGCUUUAGGGCUAGCGUCGAGGUAAGUUGCGUGAAGGUAGAGCACUGAAUAUGUGAUGGCCCCAUCUCGGGGUACUGAGCAUAAUCAAACUGCGAAUGUCACGCCAACAUGCUCGGCAGUCAGACAGCGGGUGAUAAGGUCCGUUGUCAAGAGGGAAACAGCCCAGACCAUCAGCUAAGGUCCCAAAAUGUAUGCUAAGUGGAAAAGGAUGUGGAGAUGUACAGACAACUAGGAGGUUGGCUCAGAAGCAGCCAUCCUUUAAAGAGUGCGUAACAGCUCACUAGUCGAAUGACUCUGCGCCGAUAAUUUACCGGGGCUAAGCAUACUACCGAAGCUAUGGAUCCCAAGGGAUGGUAGGGGAGCGUUCCAUGAACGGAGAAGUACGACCGAAAGGACGUGUGGAGAUCAUGGAAGAGAGAAUGCCGGUGUGAGUAGCGGAACGUGGGUGAGAAUCCCACGCACCGAAAACCCAAGGUUUCCAGAGGAAGGUUCGUCCGCUCUGGGUAAGUCGGGACCUAAGGCGAGGCCGAAAGGCGUAGUCGAUGGACAACAGGUAGAGAUUCCUGUACCCGUAUAUAUGUGAAGGAAUGACGGAGAGAGGAAGCUGCAGCCAGCGGCUGGAAGAGCUGGUGCAAGCGAGAUAUCGGGAUGGCAGGCAAAUCCACCAUCCGAAACGAGAAGGCGUGAAGCGUACGGAAAGCUACGGCGAGUACGGAAGGCAGUGGAGGAACUUCCAAGAAAAGUUUCUAACGUUAAGUAUAUAUGGCCCGUACCGAAAAUGGACACACAUGGGUGAGGAGAGAAUCCUAAGGUGAGCGAGAGAACUAUAGCUAAGGAACUCUGCAAAAUGACUCCGUAACUUAGGGAGAAGGAGUGCUCAUAGAGAUAUGAGCCGCAGUGAAACGGCCCAAGCGACUGUUUACCAAAAACACAGCUCUCUGCUAAGCCGCAAGGCGAAGUAUAGGGGGUGACGCCUGCCCGGUGCUGGAAGGUUAAGGGGAGGGGUUAACGCAAGUGAAGCCCUGAACUGAAGCCCCAGUAAACGGCGGCCGUAACUAUAACGGUCCUAAGGUAGCGAAAUUCCUUGUCAGGUAAGUUCUGACCCGCACGAAAGGCGUAACGAUUUGGGCGCUGUCUCAGCUGUAGACUCGGUGAAGUCUUAGUACCUGUGAAGAUGCAGGUUACCCGCGACUAGACGGAAAGACCCCAUGGAGCUUCACUGCAGGUUGAUAUUGGGAUUUGAUGCAGCAUGUACAGGAUAGGUAGGAGGCAAAGAGAUGGAUACGCCAGUAUUCAAGGAGCCGCUGUUGGGAUACUACCCCUGUUGUAUUGGAUUUCUAACCGGACGACGUAGAGCCGUUGACGGGACAGUGUCAGUCGGGCAGUUUGACUGGGGCGGUCGCCUCCCAAAGAGUCACGGAGGCGCCCA